rnacentral:rRNA from 1 species
CCUACGGGGGACAGCAGUGGGGAAUAUUGCACAAUGGGGGGAACCCUGAUGCAGCGACGCCGCGUGAGUGAAGAAGUAUUUCGGUAUGUAAAGCUCUAUCAGCAGGGAAGAAAAUGACGGUACCUGACUAAGAAGCCCCGGCUAACUACGUGCCAGCAACCGCGGGAAUACGUAGGGGGCAAGCGUUAUCCGGAUUUACUGGGGGUAAAGGGAGCGCAGACGGCUGUGCAAGUCUGGAGUGAAAGGCGGGGGCCCAACCCCCGUACUGCUCUGGAAACUGGAAAGCUGGAGUGCAGGAGAGGUAAGCGGAAUGCCUAGUGUAGCGGUGAAAUGCGUAGAUAUUAGGAGGAACACCAGUGGCGAAGGCGGCUUACUGGACUGCAACUGACGUUGAGGCUCGAAAGCGUGGGGAGCAAACAGGAUUAGAUACCCCAGUAGUC